GUGCUCACUUCGGCAGCACGUAUACUAAAAUUGGAACUAUACAGAGAAGAUUAGCAUGGCCCCUGGGAUGACACGCAAAUUCGUGAAGCGUUCCAUAUUUAA